CUGGGCUAGACAACGGCGGACCGUCCUAGAAAUAGGAUUUUCCCUUCGGGGACUGCCGGUUCAGGUGCUGCAUGGCUGUCGUCAGCUCGUGCCGUGAGGUGUUGGGUUAAGUCCCGCAACGAGCGCAACCCUCGUCCUUAGUUGCCACCAUUCAGUUGGGCACUCUAGGGAGACUGCCGGCGUUAAGCCGGAGGAAGGUGGGGACGACGUCAAGUCAUCAUGGCCCUUAUGUCCAGGGCCACACACGUGCUACAAUGGACGGUACAAAGGGUCGCAAACCCGCGAGGGGGAGCCAAUCCCAAAAAGCCGUUCUCAGUUCGGAUUGGAGUCUGCAACUCGACUCCAUGAAGUUGGAAUCGCUAGUAAUCGCGGAUCAGCACGCCGCGGUGAAUACGUUCCC
rnacentral:rRNA from 1 species